ACGGGUGAGUAAUACAUCGGAACGUAUCCUGGAGUGGGGGAUAGCCCGGCGAAAGCCGGAUUAAUACCGCAUACGCUCUGAGGAGGAAAGCGGGGGACCUUCGGGCCUCGCGCUCAAGGGGCGGCCGAUGGCGGAUUAGGUAGUUGGUGGGGUAAAGGCCUACCAAGCCGACGAUCCGUAGCUGGUCUGAGAGGACGACCAGCCACACUGGGACUGAGACACGGCCCAGACUCCUGCGGGAGGCAGCAGUGGGGAAUUUUGGACAAUGGGGGCAACCCUGAUCCAGCAAUGCCGCGUGUGUGAAGAAGGCCUUCGGGUUGUAAAGCACUUUUGUCCGGAAAGAAAUCAUCGGGGCCAAUACCCCUGGUGGAUGACGGUACCGGAAGAAUAAGCACCGGCUAACUACGUGCCAGCAGCCGCGGUAAUACGUAGGGUGCGAGCGUUAAUCGGAAUUACUGGGCGUAAAGCGUGCGCAGGCGGUGCUGUAAGACCAAUGUGAAAUCCCCGGGCUUAACCUGGGAACUGCAUUGGUGACUGCAGCGCUGGAGUAUGGCAGAGGGGGGUGGAAUUCCACGUGUAGCAGUGA
rnacentral:rRNA from 1 species